GCUGCGCCUGCCGCAGGAGACCAGCCGUAUUCUUCUCUCUGAGUGAGCUAUUUUUACCAACGCUCCCCCCAACCCCCGCCCCUUCAUUCCAGCUCCCAUUUCAGCCUUGGAGCUGAAUUAGACUCUUUCUUCCUCUCGUAGGCUCCCCCUCUCUGUUAUUAUAUAAAACCAUUGCAGCCCUUAAGGAGUUGGCAUCUGACAUCGCCAGCUCCUGGAUCCCCAGAACAGAGCUGGGAAGGAAUAAAUAGAAGGGAGGGAAAGCGGCGUUCUGUUCCGGCUCCGGCAACAACGUGAACCAACCGUCAGAGAGUUAACAGCAGCCAAGCAUUUGGUGUUAAUCUUUAAUAUUCCCAAGAACUUGUCACCUCUUCCUUCAGGCCCACAGCUGCCUCCUCCAAGCCCCAGAAAUCAGGAGUGUGAACAAAUGUGGAGGGAUGAACAUGGCAGCAGAAGGUGAAAGGGCUCUGUGGCUGUUGCCCAGCUAACAGUGUGUCUACUGUUGACAGUUUAUUCUCAUCAAGACAGGGCAGGCUCUGUGGAUCCUGUGUGAAUCUGUCCAUCACCUUGAAUGUCUGGCGAUCUUGACACCACGCUUCAUGGCCAGGCUGGACCCUCUACUAACCGCUGAGGUUUCACUGCUUGCUUCUGACCUCAGAGGACCUCUUCAUGCCAUCCAGACACCUUCACCUCCAUUGCGAAUUCCUGAUAUGCUGAUUUUCGUGGUUUCUUCCUCUACCUGUACAUCCCUCCACACAUCCUACCUCUGAUCCAGUGUCUAUAUACCUACCAUCCUUUUGUACAGAGACUCCAGAGUCAGAAAUGCUAUCAGCUGCCUGUAAAGCUGGUGGGCUUACAGUGUGUGCGUGUGCGUGUGCGUGUGCGUGUGCGUGUGCGUGUGCGUGUGCGUGUGUGUGUGUGUGUGUGUGUGUAAAGAGAUCAAGGGAUCGAGAGACUUGCCCAAGGUUGCAUAAUGUACGAGUGAGGAAAUGAGUCACAUCUCCUCACGGCACUCCAUGUAGAGUGAACAUCUCUGUUAUAUUAAUUUGAAUAUGAAUUUGAAUUUGAAUAUGAAUGUUAUAUAAUUUGAAUAUGCUUGGCCCAUGGGAAGUGCUACUAUUAGGAGGUGUGGCCUAGUUGGAGGAAGUGCAUCACUGGGGGGCAAGAGCAGGAGGAUGGGGCGGGGAGGCUUUGAGAUCCUCUGCUUAAGCUCUGCCCAGGGAAGAAAGUCUCUUGGCUGCCUUUGGAUCAAGAUGUAGAACUCUCUUGGCUCCUCCAGCGCCAUGGCUGCCUGGAAGCUGCCAUGAUGUCAAUGGACUGACCCUUUAAACUGUAAGCCAACCCCAAUUAAAUGUCUUUCUUUAUAUGAGUUGCCUUAGUUAUGA
rnacentral:lncRNA from 1 species